rnacentral:tRNA from 1 species
GCGGUACUAGCUCAGUUGGUAGAGCGCAACCUUGCCNNUAGAGCGCAACCUUGCCAAGGUUGAGGUCAAGAGUUCGAGCCUCUUGUACCGCUCCA